UAAGUCCUAUAGCGCACAGUCUUGCACCUACACACCGACACCAACAUGCCCAAGCACAGCAGCCGGAGGGCACCCAUACACAGGGGCUCUCUGGGAAGCAACACCACUCUCGUUCCUGAAGCACAAAACCCCAGCGGGGGGUUCAACCUGGCACCAACCGUGAGGGACUCAACCAUCUGCCCCGCUAAAUGCGAGAGGAGGAAGGAGAAGACCCCAUAGAGACUGUGCUGGGACCCCCAAGCCGCACUCACUGCUCUCUACAUGCAACGCGUGCAAUCACAUCGUGCUCCUCUAUGGGGGGUCGAUCAAUUCAUGGCCAACCUAUUCCCAUCCAUACAGAUAUGAUUGCCCCUCUGCCAGAAACCUAAACACAGAACAGUGUUGUAGGGAUUUCUGUUUCUACCAUCUACACAAAUUAUUAUAAUUAUUAUUAGUAUCCUUCAUAUAUACUCUGUCUGUCUGACUCUAUCUCAGACUAACUGUAUGACUAUCUGCCAGCAGCAAUAUGUUACAUAGUACCUGAAUCUUCAUUUAAUUACCUUUCUGCUUAUAUCUCUGCCAAUAAUGCAUUUACACUAUCAAUAAGAGACCUAAAAUAUAAGUAGCAGUAAAAUAAAGCUACAUUUGUUUAUG